AUCACUAUUACUUAGUAAUAAUUAAAAUGAAAAAUCUUUAUCUUAAUCUCGCGUUUUUUUAAAUCUACGUGUACACAGUCACUUUUGCAAGUUAGUAGUAAUUACCUAUCGAUAACUGUUUAAAAAGAAUACUGCAAAAACACAACCGCUCUGGAUUGGGUUGCAGAUAUGCAGCAUCCUUUGUACGGAUAAGUGAGCUUUAAUGCUUUAUUGGAAUACCGCUUCUACAGGCAGCAAUUUUUAAAUCGUAAAUUGCCGGAACCUAGAAUUUUCAUAAAACUUGAUCAAAGGCUACCGGAGACCGGCUCAAUAAUACUUGAUUGAUUAGUUGUAAGGCGGCGCCUGGUUAAGAGAUGCUUUAGAGGAUUAAUUUAUUAAGCCAAACUUAAGACAAUUGAUAGAUUGGUAAAGGUGGUUCAGUCCCUUGGCCAGCAAGAUCACCUGAUUUGACACCUCUUGACUUUAUUGUCUAAAGCACCAUAGAAUAUUGUAUAUACGCAUUCUUUUGUUUACCAGAAAGGACCUAGUUGCUAAAAUCGUGAUGGCUGUGAAAUAUCUGAGGAACGGUCAAGGCGUCUUUUCUCGUGUGCGGGUAUCAUGGAUCAAUAGGUGCAGAAAAAAAUAUGAAAAUGCCUGGAGAAUACUUUGAAAAUUUGAUAAACACCAUUAGAGAAAACUAAUUAAGUCAUCAAAAUAUCCCGGAUCGGCAUCCGUCUCGUCAUUGAUGAAAUCCCCAAGUUUAGAUAUCUAGUAAAUCUGGUUUAAUUUAGGGGUAUUCAGUGUUCGAAACUUAAUUUGAAUAUCUGCCAUGAAAUUAUACGAUAAUGAGGGAGCAUUUGAUAAAAUUAAAUUAUCCAGAGAGCAACAAAUCUUGAAGGAGUGGAAAUCACUACACAAUAUAUUAAAUUCAUGUUAAAUGGUCGCAAACUUAGUCCAGCCAUUGGUGAGACAAUCGCAUUAGUAAGUGUUUUCAAAGGAUAUGGUCAAGGUGGAGUCCUAUCACUUUUGCUAUUGUUCCUAGUUAUUGAUGUAAGAAUA